rnacentral:rRNA from 1 species
GGAGGGGGCGAGCGUUAUUCGGAAUUAUUGGGCGUAAAGGGCGCGUAGGCGGCCCGCUAAGUCAAAGGUGAAAUCCCUCGGCUCAACUGAGGAACUGCCUUUGAAACUGACGGGCUUGAGGCCGGGAGGGGGUAGCGGAAUUCCCAAUGUAGCGGUGAAAUGCGUAGAUAUUGGGAGGAACACCGGUGGCGAAGGCGGCAUCCUGGACCGGUAUUGACGCUGAGGCGCGAAAGCCAGGGGAGCAAACGGGAUUAGAUACCCCGGUAGUCCUGGCCCUAAACGAUGAAUGCUUGGUGUGGCGGGUAUCGAUCCCUGCCGUGCCGAAGCUAACGCAUUAAGCAUUCCGCCUGGGGAGUACGGUCGCAAGGCUG